rnacentral:lncRNA from 1 species
UAAACAAAAGUUGUUUGUUUUAAAAUUAAGGUAGAACAGGACAACAUAUUGCUUUUUAUCUCAAGAAUGUCAAUAUUCUGACAAUUUGUUUCAUAACUUUAUCUAUGCUGGAAUUGGGUGAAAAUUCAGACUACGGUAAUUGGUUGGGAAAAUACUUGAUUAAGCCAGAAUGUUAGUUAAAUGUUGUUCAAAUGCCAACUAUUUCAAGUGUUCUUAAAUUUCAGCUGUUGUUAAUCAAAUUAUUCAUCAAACACUAAAUAAUGAUCCUCAGUUUUCUUCAUCUAUUGUAUCUGGAAAUAUUUCAUUUUUAUGUCAUGGAAAUCAAAAGGAAUUACAAAUUGAUUUAGGAGAUUUGAUAGAUGGUUAACAUUUUGUAAUACUAGUAUUUAAUUCUAGAAAAUAGAAAAUAUGGCAUCAUACCUUCUUUUAUGAAAAUAAAAAUCGUUCACAGCUUUAGAAUGUUGAAGUACAGUAUGUGAUUGUGCAAACCAUCUAGGCAUGAUAAACAAUACAUGUUUUUACUUCUGUGAAGUUGUCAUGUGAAUCUGAUGAGUUUGCUAAAUCUGAUGUCUCAUUUUUGGAAUCCUAUGCUUCGUGCAUGUUAAAGAACCCUUAAAACAACACCUGUUUAUGGGUCCUUCAGAUACCUAUUGUGACCAAAUAUUUGCUCUCACCCUACAUACUCUCUUUUUUUUAGGACAAUUCCAGUAAGUCAAUCCACUUUCCAGAACCUACCUAUUUGAUAUAUUGUUAAUUUCCUUCUUGUUUUGAAUAUGCAUGAAAAUAGCUACUAAACCCUUGAUAAAAAAAUCUUUUGAGCAUAAACGAAGUGUCAUUUUAUAUUAUUAUACUUCACAUUAAAAUGCCAUAUUUUAAUUGGCUAAUAUGAGGGUGUUAAUUUACUCUAUCACAUGGCUGAGAGGGUAACAUUUGUUUUGAAUGUCACCUUCUCAUACCAAUCAAAAUCGAUAAUUUAAAGGGCAAUGCAUUGAAUUUACAUCAAGUUAUUAAAGACAAUGCUUAAGUUUUACAUUUUAGCUCAGAUUCUAUUAUUUGACUCAAAAUAAAAGAAAUAAAACAUCUUGCUUUACUUCUGUUGAUUGUUCUGAUACCUGUAAUGUUGUUAUGUAUGUCAUGUCCCUAGAAAAUACUUUUUAAAUAAAUUUUAUCUGUAAAAGACAAUAAAAAUAGGACAUUCAGUAUAAUAAAUUAAAUAACACAUAUAUUUACCUCGAGAAAAAGCAUUGUCAACCUUGGCUUCGCUGCGGUUGACAAUGUUUUCUCAGGGUACCAAAUUCUACUCUAUCACCCUCUCAACUAUGUGUUAUUUAUAUAAUGGUCAGAGGUAACAGCUGUAAAGUUUUUAAUCAUUCUUAUUUAAUAAAGAUCUGUAUCAUUUUAAAGUCAUUCUUUCCUUUCAUAAGAUGGCAGGCCUUUUCACAAAACAUCUUAGAAUAUGAGCUGUGUAGGAUAAAAAUAAAUUUUGUGCAAGUGCCAUGACAUUGUAUACAUGUGCAUUAUAAGACUUUGAUCGGUUUUAUCGGCUUACUUUCCAAACCGUUACGGACUUUGUAUAGAGUUUUUUUCAUCCCGAAAUAAGUUAACAGAUGUAUUGAUAUUCAUUUACAUAAGGUCAGUUUCUAUCUGAUUCUCCUCAUAUGACUA